rnacentral:tRNA from 1 species
GCCUUCGUGGUUUACUGGUCAGCACGCUCGGCGCGCAACCGAGGGGUCCGUGGUUCAAUUCCCGGCAAAGGCG